UCACUUUUUUUUCUAAAAAAAAUUACACGUAAUGUUUAUAAUUUCAAAUUAGCUUUUAUUUUUAAGCCUAACAAAAUUGAAACAAUGUAGUUUUGUUUCUUUCAUUCAGCCUCAACCUUUUUCUUUUCAUCUUUCUUCAUAGAAAGAAUCUACUUGUAGAUACAAGUGAAAGACACUUUCAUCUCUCUCUCGCUUGAACACCUUCCAUCACCAUCUUCACCUCAGCCAUUUGAUCACCACCAUCAACUCCAACCCUCAUCACCCUAAACCUGCAAACCCAACCAUAAAUUCGAGGGAACCCAAGUCCCAAUAGUAAAACCAAAGAAAAAAAACAAUCCACCAGCAACCGAAAAUAAAAGAAAAAGAACUCCUUGUUUUGAAGUCAAGCAGAACCUGCAAAGAAAAAGAAAACAAAUCAGAGAACUAAAAAAGGAGAAAAAACAGAAAAGAGGAAGAGCUCUCUGUCGCUGGUGUAUCUUGGCUGCAGAACAGCGGCAGUGGGCAGAGCCAGAAGGGGGGGGGGGGAAACAAGAAACAAAAAGAGGUAAUUGGUCGGAGAGAAUCUACUUGCAGACUGAGAGAUGAAAGGUAAGUGAUUAAAAUGAAUUACAAUUAUUCUUUUUUAUUUUUAGCCGAGUUUACCGUUGUUUUCAUUACAUUUUAACAGUGAAAUGUAAAAAGCAUAAAAUCAACUAUCAAACGCAACCUAUAAAUUUUAGAUGAUAAAUUAAUUAUUCACUAUCAAUAUUCAAAUUAAAAGUCUAUAAACUUUGUAAAUUAAUUAUUUACUAUCACUAUUCAAAUUAAAAGUAAUGAUUUAUCAUCUAAUAAAUACAUUUCCACGAGACAUGUUUUUUCCAAGAAGUAUUUUCAAAAUAAAAAUUUGUGGCUCUUCAAAAUUGUAUUUAUUGAGUGCAUAUAAAUAGAGGGACUCUGGUGCUCACAAAUUAAAUUACAAUUAAUUCAAUUUCAGAAAUUAGAAUAAGAAUUCGAGAAUUCUUCGAUUUUGUUAAUCAAAGGAAAUUCAAAACUUCGUUAUUUCUCGGAAGGACCUUUGUCUUAACCCUCUAGUAACUUUAUGUGGGGCGAAGAAUUCUCUUUAAAAAAUGUCAUCUGCACCUCGAAGCCUACUAUUUAUUUCUAUAUAAAUCUCUAGUUCUAUCGUCUCUGUAAUAGACCCAAUUUGCCCGGGGCCCAUUCAGGAUAAGCAGAAAAACCAAGAAAAAUAAUAAAUAAAAUUCAGUCCAAAAACAGUCCAUUUACAAUUGGCCUAGAUCAAUUUACCAAAAAAAUACAGACUCUAACCCCAAAAUAUACCAAGACCCAAAAUACAAGCCAAGUCCAUUUAUAAAUGACCCAGUACAAACCCAAACUCUAGCCUAAACACCUAAUGGCCCAACUCAGCCCAAACCCCAACCUAAUGGCAGAAACCCUAGCAGCGAGCAAGCCCUAGCGCCGCAGUAGCCCCAACUCCUCCGCACGUGCCAAGCCUAUGCCCUUACGCCUUCGCCUCCGUACGUGCCACGUCCGCACCUCUGCACAUCGUACCUACAAGAGACGAACAAAAGAGCAGUAAAACAGACAACAACGGCACACGAAAGGGGUAGAGAGAAAAAGCAAGGAUAACAGAGCGAGGGCGAUUUGUUUGGAUUUUUUAUUUUAUUUUAUUCUGUAAAUAGAUACUAUAAAAACCAAGAGUAUGCUGUAACAAAAAAAGAGGCAUUGAGAAUACGAAAAUCAAAAUAAAAAAGAAGGUGAUUUCUGGGUUC
rnacentral:lncRNA from 1 species